rnacentral:tRNA from 1 species
AAAGAAUAAAGAGAAAAUGUCAUUUUCCAACAAAAAAUUCUUAA